AUGAUGAAAAACAAGCGGCGGCUGGUGAGAGGCGAUGAAGAGCAACGCCCUUACAAAAGGGUAGCUAGGCCAACUAGAUUGGACGUCUCGAGUGAAUCCAGUCCAGGCGCCCUGAGUGAACUCAGUGAGCAAGUAGUUUCAAGAUUGCGUAGGAGUGUCGUGUCGCUUGCUUCGUUCGACGGUGAUACCAAGUUACGUGAAUGCACAGGCAUAUGCAUUGAAACCUCAUGUUCUAAUUCUGAAGCUACAAUCCUGACAUCCAGACGGUUGAUUCCACCUACUCACCCAGCUGCAAGUUUGAAUAUUAAAGUACGCCUUCCGAAUGAUCGGAUUGUCACUGGGUGGAUAGAGGAUCCUAAGAUAUAUGUUGAUUUUUUCAUUGUCAACAUCAAGAACGUGUCUGGAGUUGAUGCCGCAAGUCUUGAUCGUGACAUGCAGUUUGAGCCUCAUACGAAGGUAGCAGCUGUAUGCCGCUGUUUCAGUUCUGGAUUUUUAACAGCCACAAGUGGACUAAAUCUUGCCUCUCCAACGAGUGAGAAAAUCGUAAGCACGUGCCGGAUCCACGAGGCGGGUAUUGGAGGCCCCCUUGUUGAUUUUGAUGGCAACUUUGUCGGGAUGAACUCCUCUCGUACCAAAAUGGAGAAGACUGCUUACGUGCGAAGGGAGGGAAUUUUUCGAUUCUUGGUGCUUCAUGGGAAGGUCAGUGUUAGAGUUAAGGAAGGGUUUGAUGAUUCUUCAAGGGCAAGAAUGAACAGUGAGAUGAAAGCAGUUAGGCCAAGUUUGGGUGCUAAGUCCGUAGCGAAAUUGAGUAAAUCAACAAAAGGCGCCUUGAGUAACCAAGUACUUUCCAGAUUAAGCAUGAGUGUUGUGGCGCUGGCCUCGUUCUAUGGUGAUACCCAAUUACGCGAAUGCACGGGCACAUGCAUCGAAAGCUCAUGUCCUGAUGCCACGUGUUUCCUGACAUCGAUAAAUUUGAUUCCUUAUACUUGGCGGUUAGGGAAGAUCACUGAAAGUUUGACGAUUAAAGUACGCCUUCCUGAUGAUCAGAUUGUCACUGGGUGGAUAGAGAAUCCUGAGAUAUAUGUUGAUUUUUUCAUCGUUAAAAUCAAGAACAUUGAUGUUAUUGAUCCCACCCAUCUAUAUCAUCUAAGUCUUGAUCGUGCCACGCAGUUUGAGCCUUAUAGGAAGGUAGCAGCUGUAUGGCGCUGUUAUGAUUCAGGAGAAUUAAAGACCACAAGUGGAGUAGAUCUUGCCUCUCUAUGCGCUCUUACAGAUGAGAAAAUGUUAAGCACAUGCCGAAUCCAUGAGGUGGGGAUUGGAGGUCCCCUUGUUGAUUUUGAUGGCAACUUUGUUGGGAUGAACUGCUCUGGUACCAAACAAAGAAAGACCCCCUACGUACAAAGGCCUUCAAUUCGUGAAUUCAUGUGGUUUCGCGCGAUGGUCAGGGAUGCACACUUUCAGUAUUGA
rnacentral:rRNA from 1 species